UGGUGGUGUCAAUAAUUAUAACAAAUUUAUCCAUAAAAAUAUUUAAAUUUUUAUUUCUAUUUAUUGAAACUAAUUGAGACAGGCAUUUUAAUGCAUACACUGGGUCUUAAUGUAUUUAUCUACUCAGUUGACUGACACUAGGGUUUUCUUUACUUCUUUGACAUUCUUAGGAAUUAUACUGCUAUGCACAUUCAUGUACGAGUUUCUGUGUGGGGAUAUCUUUUCAGUUCUCUUGGGUAUAUACCUAGGAAUAGAAUUGCUGGGUCAUAUGGUAACUCUAUAUUUAACAUUUUGAGGAACUGCCAAACUGUUUUCUAAAAUGGCUUUACCAAUUAAUAUUCUCAUUUGCGAGGAAUGAUGUUUCCAAUUUUUUUACAGUGUCACAAACACUUGUUUUCUUUCUUUUUGAUUAUAACCUUCCUAGUGUGUGUAAAAUAUCUUAUGGUGGAUUUUAUUUGCAUUACUCAAAUGGGUAAUUAUUUCAUGUGCUUAUUAGACAUUUGUAUGUAUUCUUUAGAGAAAUGCCUAUUCCAAUCCAUUGUACUUUUAAAAUUUUGAUUUAUUGUCUUUUUGUUAUUGUGUUGCAUUAUUUAAAUAUCCUGUAUACA
rnacentral:lncRNA from 1 species